AUGAGUGUGGGUUUAAUUGGAAUUUUUGUUCUUUCUAUUUUGCAAGGUUUCCAUUGUGAUAUUCAGCUCUUGGAGUCUGGAGAAGAUGUGAGACAGCCUGGAGGAUCCUUGAAACUCUCCUGCAAAGCUUCUGGAUUCACCUUCAGCAGCUAUGGCAUGCACUGGGUUCCCCAGGCUCCAGGGAAGGGACUAGAGUGGGUCUCAGUUGCUUGGUCUAAUGGCAAUACAAAUUAUGCAGACUCUGUGAAAGGCCGAUUCACCAUCUUCAGGGACAAUGGCAACAGCCUGAUGCACCUGCAGAUGAAUUCCCUGAAAGCUGAGGACACAGCCAUGUAUUACUGUGCAAGAGACACAGUGAGGGAAAGGAGUGAGAGAGCAGACAAAAACCUCCUCCUUCAGAAAGUUCUUAUGGAGAAUAACUGA